AUUGAACGCUGGCGGCAUGCCUUACACAUGCAAGUCGAACGGCAGCACGGGAGCAAUCCUGGUGGCGAGUGGCGAACGGGUGAGUAAUAUAUCGGAACGUGCCCAGUCGUGGGGGAUAACGCAGCGAAAGCUGUGCUAAUACCGCAUACGAUCUAAGGAUGAAAGCGGGGGAUCGCAAGACCUCGCGCGAGUGGAGCGGCCGAUAUCAGAUUAGCUAGUUGGUGGGGUAAAGGCCCACCAAGGCGACGAUCUGUAGCUGGUCUGAGAGGACGACCAGCCACACUGGAACUGAGACACGGCCCAGACUCCUACGGGAGGCAGCAGUGGGGAAUUGUGGACAAUGGGCGCAAGCCUGAUCCAGCAAUGCCGCGUGCAGGAUGAAGGCCUUCGGGUUGUAAACUGCUUUUGUACGGAACGAAACGGCCCUUUCUAAUACAGGGGGCUAAUGACGGUACCAUAAGAAUAAGCACCGGCUAACUUCGUGCCAGCCGCCGCAGUAA
rnacentral:rRNA from 1 species